rnacentral:rRNA from 1 species
GGCGAACGCUGGCGGCAGGCCUAACACAUGCAAGUCGAACGAACCUUUCGGGGUUAGUGGCGGACGGGUGAGUAACACGUGGGAACGUGCCUUUAGGUUCGGAAUAACUCAGGGAAACUUGUGCUAAUACCGAAUGUGCCCUUCGGGGGAAAGAUUUAUCGCCUUUAGAGCGGCCCGCGUAUGAUUAGCUAGUUGGUUGAGGUAAUGGCUCACCAAGGCGACGAUCAGUAGCUGGUCUGAGAGGAUGAUCAGCCACAUUGGGACUGAGACACGGCCCAAACUCCUACGGGAGGCAGCAGUGGGGAAUCUUGCGCAAUGGGCGAAAGCCUGACGCAGCCAUGCCGCGUGAAUGAUGAAGGUCUUAGGAUUGUAAAAUUCUUUCACCGGGGACGAUAAUGACGGUACCCGGAGAAGAAGCCCCGGCUAACUUCGUG